rnacentral:rRNA from 1 species
AUUGAACGCUGGCGGCAUGCUUUACACAUGCAAGUCGAACGGCAGCGCGGGCUUCGGCCUGGCGGCGAGUGGCGAACGGGUGAGUAAUAUAUCGGAACGUACCCAAGAGUGGGGGAUAACGUCGCGAAAGUUACGCUAAUACCGCAUACGAACUAAGGAUGAAAGCAGGGGACCGCAAGGCCUUGUGCUCCUGGAGCGGCCGAUAUCUGAUUAGCUAGUUGGUGAGGUAAAGGCUCACCAAGGCAACGAUCAGUAGCUGGUCUGAGAGGACGACCAGCCACACUGGAACUGAGACACGGUCCAGACUCCUACGGGAGGCAGCAGUGGGGAAUUUUGGACAAUGGGGGCAACCCUCAUCCAGCAAUGCCGCGUGAGUGAAGAAGGCCUUCGGGUUGUAAAGCUCUUUUGUCAGGGAAGAAAAGGUCGUGGCUAAUAUCCACGACUGCUGACGGUACCUGAAGAAUAAGCACCGGCUAACUACGUGCCAGCCGCCGCCGUAACAC